rnacentral:rRNA from 1 species
UACGGAGGGUGCAAGCGUUAAUCGGAAUUACUGGGCGUAAAGCGUGCGCAGGCGGUUUGUUAAGUCUGUUGUGAAAUCCCCGGGCCCAACCUGGGAAUGGCAAUGGAUACUGGCAGGCUAGAGUGUGUCAGAGGAUGGUGGAAUUCCCGGUGUAGCGGUGAAAUGCGUAGAGAUCGGGAGGAACAUCAGUGGCGAAGGCGGCCAUCUGGGACAACACUGACGCUGAAGCACGAAAGCGUGGGGAGCAAACAGG